rnacentral:tRNA from 1 species
GGCUUGAUGGUGUAGUUGGUUAUCACGUCAGUCUAACAUCCACGGAUGGUUCACUGAAGGUCGGGAGAUCGAGCCUCCCUCGAGUCA